GACUCCGUCUCCCAUAAGGCACUGGGCCUUCUGCACCCGAACCCAAUAAUUAGAGGCCAUUUCACAUGGCGCCCACUCAGAGUUGUCAGGGCCCAAGAACAGGCUCCAGAUGUUGGCUGGAAAAAGGCGAGGACCAGCUGCCCGAGCUCUAAGGCCUGGGCGCUCUUUGGCGAGCCGCCCCUCCCCCGCCUCGGGCACCAUCAGAGAGAGAUCAGUGAAACAUCUAUGGGGAGCUGGAAGAUAAUUGAUGCAUCUUGGAGCCUCAUCACAGGAGUCAUCCUUCUUCUCCAACUGCAGCAAUUAAACAUGAAAUGCUUCCACCCUUAACAAUAACAACGUGGCAGUGAUGAAUGCAAAAAUGCCAAUGAAAAGGAUGGUUCUUUUGGAAAAUGCACUAUUAAAAAAUCUAAAUGUGUUACUUUUCCUUGUAUUCUGCUAGUGUUCUUAAAAUAACAUUUAAAAAUUGUAUUUCUCUUCCUCGCCGUAGAGCCAAAGUCUCCCGAGGGCAGAAACUAUAUCAUUUCAUUAUUAUCGUAC
rnacentral:lncRNA from 1 species